rnacentral:sRNA from 1 species
UCAAAUGGAAGGCAAUCUAAGUUCGCCGCGUCCUGCGGCAAUUAUUGCAUGACCCAACAUCGUGUUGG